rnacentral:rRNA from 1 species
CGACGAGUUUGAUCCUGGCUCAGAUUGAACGCUGGCGGCAUGCCUUACACAUGCAAGUCGAACGGCAGCACGGGUGCUUGCACCUGGUGCGAGUGGCGGAACGGGUGAGUAACUAUAUCGGAACGUACCUUAUCGUGGGGGAUAACGCAGCGAAAGCUGCGCUAAUACCGCAUACGCCCUGAGGGGGAAAGCGGGGGACCGUAAGGCCUCGCGCGAUUAGAGCGGCCGAUAUCUGAUUAGCUUGUUGGUGGGGUAAAAGCCCACCAAGGCGACGAUCAGUAGCUGGUCUGAGAGGACGAUCAGCCACACUGGGGACUGAGACACGGCCCAGACUCCUACGGGGAGGCAGCAGUGGGGAAUUUUGGACAAGUGGGGGCAACCCUGAUCCCAGCAAUGCCGCGU